GCUAGCUCUCAAUCCGCUGAUCAGGACGGAGAAAGAGAGUUGGAGGAAGGCGAAGAAGAAGAUAUUCCACUCAUGGCUGAGCCGAUGAUGACACACAGUGUCUCUGAUUAAAGUUAUUAAAUCAGGACAGUGUUAAAGAGACUGAGAUCGCCCAGCCGGGAGUACCAGUGUAGCUGCAAACUGUAAAACAGCGCCGCUCUCUACACCGGAGGAGAUGGAGAGAAGACCCGACCAAAUGAAAGAAAUGACUAAUGGAGACAGGGACAGGGACAGACAGGGUUGCUGUGAGAGACACAAAAGAUGAGAAACAUCUGGAUCUCCUUGAGAAGAUCAGCUCCCACAUGACCCUGUGAAAGGAUACAGUGAGCUCCAGGAGAAGCCAGCAGAAUGAGCACAGGCACCACAUUUCAUAGU